rnacentral:lncRNA from 1 species
UUUACCGAAGGAGAACAAAAGCACUAGUGAUGUUCCGAAGUGCUACCACCUGAUCACAAAUACUACUCAGUACAUACACCAACAUACAAGCAAGAGUAAGAACAAAUACGCACUAAAGCGCCCCAAACCCGACAUUCAAGCCUCUACCGUUUGCGCUACCGAUCAAGACAGCAGCACCGACUCUUCUCUUUUUCAUAUACUUCAGAAUACUCAUCCAAAAAUUACCACAAUUCAUCAGAUCAUGUAAAACUCUAUUAUAUACAACUUUUGUAUUGUAAGGUUUUGCAUCAGAGAUCUGCAAGAUGGUAUAAUUAACCAUAGAACACAACUGAAUAUUUCUGACCUUCAAAACAGAACAUCAAACUUCAAAAAUUCAUAACAGGAGAUAUACUUAUUCAAAAGUUACAAACUUUACCAAUCUAGAAAGCUUAACAAAAAUCCUAAAACCUUUGUUAAUAAUCAAAGAACUAAUUAUUUCAUUAACAGGGUCAAAAACUGCUUAGAUCCAAAACUGUCCAGAUUUUCGUCACUGGAAACCAGUCAGAUUGAAAACUCGAUAUCUCACAAAUUAUAACUACUAUGACAGAGUUCUUGGCGUCCAAAGAAAGCUAUUGGAGUCCUCUACAACUUUGUCCACAGACCCAAAAAUUUAUAAAGACUCUAAAAUGCCCUAACAUUACGAUGAACAUGGACUGCUCAGUCUGACGAGAAUUUCAGAACAUGAACUUAAAUGACUUCGAGAAUUUCUCCACUAAACCCAAUCCCAAAUAAGCGAUUUAAUCCGCAAAACUUGAUCAGAUAAAGGGGAUUAAUAUUUGGCUUCUCACCUAGAGAACCACAGCGAGCACGACGCCGAAACUCCCGGCGUCUACUCCUUCUCCGCCUCUUCACCUUUCCAUCAUCUCCGAUCCAACUCGCCAUGAUCCUUGCCGCCACAAAAGCCUUGUUAUUCCGAUCUACGCCAAACAUGGCUAAGCCCUCAUGGACAGCAAAAGGGACAUGGUGGAUCAAUGGGACAGCCAAGAUACAAGGUAGAACCUAACCGUAUUUUCCACGGGAGGAAGAACGACCACCACGGAUGACUGACGGCGGCGGCGGCGGCGGCAAAACCCUAGGCCCUAUUCUCCCCUUCCCUCUUCU